AAACAAUAAUUUACCAAAAUAUUUGGUAAUUAUAAACAAUCUUUUCUAAAACUCAAAGCAGACAACUCACAAUACAUAACGACAAGUUGUCAAAUUUUCAAGUGUCAUAAUUCUCAAAGCUAUUGAUUUAAAAUCUGUACAACACAUCAAUAAAGUAAAAUAUACUAAAUAUUGCAGCGGAAAUACUUAAGUGGAUUACAUGUAUGAAGACAUGGAAUCCUGAGCCUAAUUUAAUACUUAUACUUCAAAAGCUUUGCUCUGCUCGCCUCCAUCUGCAUCACAGCUUAACCUGCACAUUUAGAAAACAUAUGCAGGGCUGAGUACUAAAAAGGUACUCAAUGAUCACAUGCCGAAAUAACUUUAAAGAUUGCUCUUAGAGCUAUAAAUUGAACUUGCCAUCUCAAGC
rnacentral:lncRNA from 1 species